AGAGAAAGGGAUUGAACAAGAGCGGACACUCGGCGAAAAUUGGAAACCGGAAACACGUCACGCUAUAGUAUUAACAUCGACGAAUUGGGGCCGCGAGUAUCGAAAAAAAAGAAGAAUGUGAAAUGAGAUUAACAGAAAUUGUUUUAUUUUUUUUAAUCUUUCCCGGAAAAAUUAAAAAUAUCUGCGUAUAAAUUAAAUUAAACUUUGCGGCUUACUUCCGUUGCCUAGCGACAGGCGAACCGGCGAAUGACGAGCCAGAUGUUUGCGUCAUUCGUCAGACACACCGCCGAAGCGAGGGAGACCGGCCGCGCAUCUGAGCGUUGGACUGUUCGGGUACCCGUCUGCCUGUUUUUCUAUUUGGGAUUUAGCCUGGUUUGGUGGCCUCCCGGCGAAUUAUUGCGUUCAUUCGGAACUUCGACAUGGCAGCACUGCACUAUUGGACUACGGCAAGCUCACGUCGUCUGGUGGAGCUUCCUGCGGAAACUACUGCUGCUUACCUGGUGCCACAAAGCUGGAUGAAUGCACAAGAAGCCCCCGACGAGCAUUUACAAAGAACAAAAUAAACGUUAAUUUUUCCUCAUUUCACAA
rnacentral:lncRNA from 1 species